rnacentral:rRNA from 1 species
AAUUUUGGACAAUGGGCGCAAGCCUGAUCCAGCCAUGCCGCGUGAGUGAAGAAGGCCUUCGGGUUGUAAAGCUCUUUCAGCCGGGAAGAAACGGGUUUGGUUAAUAACCGUAUUUAAUGACGGUACCGUCAGAAGAAGCACCGGCUAACUACGUGCCAGCAGCCGCGGUAAUACGUAGGGUGCGAGCGUUAAUCGGAAUUACUGGGCGUAAAGCGUGCGCAGGCGGUUUUGUAAGACAGAUGUGAAAUCCCCGGGCUCAACCUGGGAACUGCAUUUGGGACUGCAAGACUAGAGUGUGGCAGAGGGGGGUAGAAUUCCACGUGUAGCAGUGAAAUGCGUAGAUAUGUGGAGGAAUACCAAUGGCGAAGGCAGCCCCCUGGGUUAACACUGACGCUCAUGCACGAAAGCGUGGGGAGCAAACAGGAUUAGAUACCCUGGUAGUCCACGCCCUAAACGAUGUCAACUAGGUGUUGGGGAAGGAGACUUCUUUAGUACCGCAGCUAACGCGUGAAGUGACCGC